UUUAGGGUUUUUUUUUCCUACCUGGAACAAAUCCCCAGAUUUAUAUUUAUAUAAAAUACCUAAUCAAAACUGAAUCAAAGUUUAAAGUUUAAGGCUAUAUAUAUUAAUUUAAAGCUUCCAUAAUAAUCAGUUAUACUUUUAUAAUAAUUUAUAUAUUUAGUUAUUACCAUCGUUUGAUGUUAUAUUUUUAGACUUCUGAUAAUUCAAUGACCAAUAAUGAACUCUUUCCUUUCAAUUUUAUUUUAUUUAUUCUGUUGUUGCUUUUGCCCUUUGUAGUGAUAGGUGUUAAUUCUUUUCUUUCUUUAUAUUUUGAUUUACAGAUGAGUAAAUUAUUCAUGUGCCUUGGUGUGUUUUUUCUCAUUAAGUUUUAUUUUUAUUGUUUAUAAAUAUUCUAUCAACCUGUGCUAUAUUUGUUAGAAAUAUUCUAAGUUAGUUGUCUCUUAUUUUUGAGCAUUCUUCUUUACUACCAUGUUAGUUAUUAUUGCAUUGCUAUGAACAAACACCUGAUAGAAUAACUUAAAGUAGAAAAAAUUUUGACUCAUAGUUUCAAAUGACAGUAAUUGUCACUUGGCUUUAUGAAUUUGGGGACAUCAUGGUGGCAUAAGUGUGUAUAGAGCUGUUCACAUCAUGGAAGACAGAAAUCAGAACAACAGUAAAAGACCAGGGACAAAAAGACCCACCUUCAGUGGCUUUUAUCUUCCAGUUAGUUCUACUUCAAGUUGACAGAAUCUUCCAAAUAGCCCAGCCAGCAGGGGUCAGGCAUUCUGGAUUCCAAUCCAGAGAUAAGACCUAAAGUCCUCACGCCUGCAGUGGUGUUUCUGUGUGUGUGCUUCCCCCUUGUAACAAAUGGUAUAACUAUUUAUUUCUGCUGAACAAAUUAUAGACACCUGUGGCAUAAAUCACCUAUCCCUCAAAUGAGACACAGUACCUGUUGCUGUGGUGUGGGCAUCUGGGCUAGUCACCAUCUCUUGAUAUUUACAAUGCAAAUAUUGUAACAAACCUACCCGAGUAUUCUUGAGUAAAUAGAAGAGUUAAGAGCAUAACUCACCGAGCUGAGGUUGCAGAACUGCUGUAAUCUACAAGACCCAGAAAGAGACAUUCUCUUCAAAUAAUUGUCAGAAGUUCUCAGCACUUACUGACAGACAGGCAGACAGAUACACACAUGGGCCCAUACACACAAACACACCGAACUGCUUAUGUACUUAGGAUAGACUUCAUUCUAGAAGUGCUAAAGUCCUCCCAGAAUGUACUCUAAGAAAAUGACAGUUGUUACUGGUCCAUUGUUCAAUUUUAUUGUUCAAUCACUAUAUUUUCAAUUAAUGGGUAGUCUUUAUGAAAGCUACUAUUUGCAUAAAAGUUGCAUUAUUGAAUAAGACUAAAAUUAUUAUUUCAAAAUGUAAGAACACAGACAAAUAUGAAAAUCCAUGUUUAUUAUGGAAUAUCUGAUUAACUGCCUUAGGAAGACCAAAUGCUGUAGACUGCUGGUGAUCUGACGUGCAAAUGCUUCAGCUUAGAGACACACUGUUUCUUGAUGAGUUAUAGCUGAUAGGUUCUCAAAACGUUUGAUUACAAAGUGAGUGUGUAGGUGUGUGUGAGUGUGUGUGUGUCCUGUCUGUGUGUAAAUACACACAAAAGUCAGGUCAAAAAGUCUUUUGGAACCACCUCUGUGCCUGUAUAUAUUUGAAGACCCAAAGCUAAAUUUUCACCCUUGAGGAGUGCCAUUAGAAAUGUUUAGCAUCCAUUAUACACCUCUCUCAAGAACAAAAUGAUUGCCAAAUUUUACAUUUCUUUGCUAGUAAACAAUAGAGUAAUAAUCACUACUGAGAUACCUAAUGCCUCUAUGUUUGCAGGCAUGCUGGAAUCAUUUGAAGGCAAUCCAGUUAAAUUUUUAGUCUUUAAGAAUACCUUUGCUUUAAUGGGUUUUAUAUUGUGAUUUUUAUCUUCCUCAUACCUGUCAUGGCCCCCCCUUAUUCCCAGCAUAGUCUCACAGCUUGAUCCUCUUCCUUCACAUUACACACCCAAUCUUCAUCUCCUGCUACUUCAUUUUCAGAAUCCGUAGCUCUUCUCUGCCCUCUCUCUGUCUCUGUCUCUGUCUCUGUCUCUGUCUCUGUCUCUGUCCCUCUCCCUCUCCCUCUCCCUCUCCCUCUCCCUCUCCCUCUCCCUCUCCCUCUCCCUCUCCCUCUCCCUCUCCCUCUCCCUCUCCCUCUCCCUUCCCCCUCCAUUAUCUGUUCUACUGCUUGUGGGCAGCUAGGUUGAUUCCAAAUAUUUGCUAUGCUGAAUAAAGCAGUGAUAAAUCUACAAGUGCAAAUAUCUCUGUGGUAUGGUUUAGAGUUUUGGGAGUAUAUGCCCAGUAAUGAACUAUGAGGGUCAGUUCUAGUUUUAAUUUUUGAGAAAUCUCCAAACUGAUCUCCACAAUGGCUAUGUUAAUUCAGUCCCACCAACAGUGAGUAAGGCUUCCUUUCUGUCCACAUCCUCUCCAACAUUUGCCAUCUGAUUUCUUGGUGAUAGUCAUUCUGAAUGGGAUGAGGUGGUUUCACAAAGUAGUUUUAGUUUGCAUUUCCCUGAUUCUAUUGAAUAAUGAAGUGAUUGAAACGUAGAACAAAGGUCUACAAACUACAUAACUAAAUUAUAAAUUCAUAAUUAACUUUUAAGGUAUUAUUUGAAAGACUCACCUUGUGGAUUAGAAAUUGAGAAUUGAUUUACUGCAUUUUGAUUAAUACAUUAUAAUCCAUCUUAGAAUAUUGCAUUUAUUUGUAUUUUUAUAAUUUAUAUUUGUAAUUUUUUACCUUUUGCAUUUAUAAACAAAUCUAAAAUAAGAAAAUAAUUGUCUAUGUUGUUUUUUAUUCUUUGAGGGUCUGUAUGCCUCACAGAGAAUAGUGUACCAUUUCUAGACUUCUAUUUCUUACAGUGUUAUUUUAAGUGUGCUCCCUCAGCUAGUUGUCUAAGGACUAUGUUUUUAUUAGUGUAAGUGAUACCUGUAUUUACUUAUUUUCACCAUGCUUAUGUCUGGUGCCUCAAAGGCUAGAAGAGGGCAUUAGAAUUACCUAGAACUAGAGUUAUGGACCAUUGCCAAGAUGCCAUGCAGGUGCUGGGAAUAAAACUUGGAUCUUCCGCAAGGUAGCAAGUGCUGGUAACCCCUGAGCUGUCACUCACUCCAACCCAUGCAUAAUGCAGCUUUAACCUGAUAGCUUUUUUGUAAGAUAUCCUGAUAAAUUUAAAAGGCUUUCUGACUAAACAGUACCCUACAUGCCGCAGAUACUUUUUCCUACAUUAAAAAAUUACUUUAUGGGUCUGAGUUACCUCAUUCAGGAUGAUUCUUUUCUAGUUCCAUAUCAUUGUCUUUAACAUCUGAGGCUAAGUAAUAUUCUAUUGUGUAAAUUACCACAUUUUCCUUGUCAGUCCUUUAGUUGAGACAUCUAGGUUGUAUCCAGUUCCUGGCUGUUAUGAAUAAAACUGUUAUGAACAUAAUUGAGCAAAUUGGAUGAAUAGCUAAUGUUCGUGUGCGAACCCUAACGGGGGAGCAGGGGAUGUCCCUGACUCUUUCUGCCUACAUGUGGGACCCCUUUUCUCUUACUGAGCAGCCUUAUACACCUUUUUCAUCUAGUUUUCAUGUGAUGGUAAGUGCCUGGUCUUACUGUAGCUUGUUAUACAGUAUUUACUUGACACUCCUAGGAGGUGUCUAUUCUGAGGGGAGGUGGAUGUGGGGGAGAGGGGAGGUUGGGGGAAACUUGGGGGAGGGGAGGAAGGGCAAACUGUAAUCAGGAUGUAAUAUGUCAGAGAAGAAUAAAAAAAUAUUUCAUGUAUAAGUUCAUAUGUGAGAAUGAGUGUGUGUGUGUCUGUGUGUCUGUGUGUCUACAGGUGUACACACAUGACAAAGUAUGUGGACAACUUUUGAGAUUCAGUUCUUUCAUUUAUGGGCAUUUCUGAGAAUCAAAUUUGGGUAGUCAGGCUUAGGGAUCAGUACUUUCAUUGUGGAAAUUUCUUACCAGCCCUUGUGAGGUAUACUUUUGGUAGCUGUUCCAUUUGCCACUUGACACCAUUAUAAGAAAUGUAUUGAAUAAUUAGAUAGCAGUCAAGGGAAUAAGGUGUGGGAUGUGGUAGUCUAAAAUAAAACUUUCCUUUUUCUACCCAAACAGAAACGUUUUUCUACAUUCCAUGACCCCUUUCUUUGUCUAUAACCCACAUUCAUUAAUGUUGACACUGGAUGUUACACAUUGUUUGAUCCACACCCAAUUUUUUUACAGUGUUUUUUAAGUAUAGGAAUGUGGGAAUUUUAUCAGAUGAGAAAAAAGCACUGCUGUUUUGUAGCUUAUUUCUACUUUGGUUAUUUUUAGUCCAUGAAAAAUUUUCAUUAAAAAUAAUUGCAGUCCUUGGCACAUUGAAGACAAUAUGAUUACUGAAUGAAUUUACAUAAUUAUGUCUCUUCACAACUUAUUCUUGCUUAUUUUUUAUUGUUUUAAAACAAUACAGUAGUUAGAAUGGAGACAUAGCCUCCAAAUCUGAAGGUCAAAGGAUUGCAGGGAACAAGAAUAAAGUAGUAAAGGCCGGGAGAGCUGCAGUGACGUCCGACUUCUCAGGCCAAAGAGUUACUUUGUCUGCUCCUGACGAGACCCUGGAGCCAACUGAGGGAG
rnacentral:lncRNA from 1 species